rnacentral:rRNA from 1 species
CCAAUAGCGUAUAUUAAAGUUGUUGCAGUUAAAAAGCUCGUAGUUGAAUUUCGGGGUUAGUAGGUUGGUCAUGCCUCUGGUAUGUACUGGUCUCACUGAUUCCUCCUUCCUGAUGAACCGUAAUGCCAUUCAUUUGGUGUUGCGGGGAAUUUGGACUGUUACUUUGAAAAAAUUAGAGUGUUUAAAGCAAGAUAACGCUUGAAUACAUUAGCAUGGAAUAAUGAGAUAGGACGUUCGAUCCUAUUUUGUUGGUUUCUAGGAUUGACGUAAUGAUUAAUAGGGAUAGUGUGGGGCAUUAGUAUUCAAUUGUCAGAGGUGAAAUUCUUGGAUUUAUUGAAGACUAACUACUGCGAAAGCAUUUGCCAAGGAUGUUUUCAUUAAUCAAGAACGAAAGUUAGGGGAUCGAAGACGAUCAGAUACCGUCGUAGUCUUAACCAUAAACUAUGCCGACUAGGGAUCGGAUGAUGUUAAUUUUUUAAUGACUCAUUCGGCGCCUUACG